rnacentral:rRNA from 1 species
GUGCCAGCAGCCGCGGUAAUACGUAGGGUGCAAGCGUUAUCCGGAAUUAUUGGGCGUAAAGAGCUCGUAGGCGGUUUGUCGCGUCUGUCGUGAAAGUCCGGGGCUCAACUCCGGAUCUGCGGUGGGUACGGGCAGACUAGAGUGAUGUAGGGGAGACUGGAAUUCCUGGUGUAGCGGUGGAAUGCGCAGAUAUCAGGAGGAACACCGAUGGCGAAGGCAGGUCUCUGGGCAUUAACUGACGCUGAGGAGCGAAAGCAUGGGGAGCGAACAGGAUUAGAUACCCGGGUAGUCC